AUGUCUGACAAGGGGAUCUCAGGAAGAGACAUGGAGCCCCACCUCCUCAACAGUGAGGAAGAGGAGGAUGAGCUGGAAGAAGAGGAGGUGGAGAAGGAUGAGAACAACGGAGAUGAUGAAGACUUCCCUGACCAGCCUCAUACCGCUCCCUUCAGCUCGGGGAAUGAAGCACAGGGAGGGGACCCUGCGGGAUGGCAGUGCACCCCCCCAUCUACCUCAUCCUCGGGGGAGACGCCGUCCCACCCCUCAACACAGCCCCACUCUCGACCUUCCUCGCGGCCUGAGAACCAAAUCCCCUCGCAGUCCCUGAAUGGAACCAAGAAGAGGUCCCACUCCAACAAACCUGCACACAUGAGGAGGAACAUCAGGUAUGACCCCUGACCUCUGAAAACAUCCAAACUCACAGAUAUAGAGAACAUCUAAU
rnacentral:lncRNA from 1 species